AUAGUCGCGACGUAGUUGAUCAGUGGCUACGACGGACGAACGCUGGCGGCGUGCCUAACACAUGCAAGUCGAGCGAAGCAUUUGGUAAAGCUUGCUUUACCGAAUGACUUAGCGGCGGACGGGUGAGUAACGCGUGAGCAACCUUUCCUCUACUGGGGAAUAACACCGGGAAACUGGUACUAAUACCGCAUGAGACCACAGAGUCGCAUGGCUCAGGGGUCAAAGAUUUAUCGGUAGAGGGUGGGCUCGCGUCUGAUUAGAUAGUUGGUGGGGUAACGGCCUACCAAGUCGACGAUCAGUAGCCGACCUGAGAGGGUGAUCGGCCACAUUGGGACUGAGACACGGCCCAAACUCCUACGGGAGGCAGCAGGUGGGGAAUAUUGGGCAAUGGGCGAAAGCCUUACCCAGCAAUGCCGCGUGAGUGAAGAAGGUCUUCGGAUUGUAAAGCUCUUGAUUAGGGACGAAAAAUGACGGUACCUAAAGAACAAGCCCCGGCUAACUACGUG
rnacentral:rRNA from 1 species